UGUUGCACCAGGAGGCGAAAUGAUGACGUUUUUUCGGAGCGACCCCUCCUCCUACGGUCUUUGUGAGGAAAGAAGAGCUUCGCGCGUGCUCAGCAGAACGCACUGAUGACGCUGAUGGGCCAGAAGGCCAGUGACAUCCCCAUGGCCAGACCCUGUGCCGAGGACCCAGAGGACACCUUGUACGAAAUGCUGUUGUGAUGUGUCACCAGGACGGGACAGGAGGCCUCCGGUGCACACCCUGCUGGAGGCCUUGGACAGGCUGGGACAAAGAUACACAAAGGAGACCAUCGAGGCCCACCUGGUGGGCUUCGGAACAUUCAUCUAUCUAGAUGGUGGGGCAGGCUCUACUGUGUCAUUGGUGUGAAAGAUAUAGGUCCUUCUAUGUCUUUUUUAUAUGUCUUUUUAAUAUCAUUUUAUAGAUCAUUUUUGAUCUGAUUUUUGUACUGUAAGUUACAGUUAAUAUUUAAUUUUUGGUAACUUAAAAUCUUUAAGUUAUAUUAAGUUAAAUAAUA